rnacentral:lncRNA from 1 species
UUUUGGGACCUCAAGUCCUUACAUAAUUGUCCAUAUUUUGAGGAACUUCUGGCAUCUCAUUUAAUUUGCUCAUCCAUGAGUUUAAGGAACUACAGGUUCCCUUUUUGUAUAUAGUGACGGUUUACCCAAAAUGGUUAAUAUUUAUGCAUACGUCACUAUUCAUGUGAAUAGUACUAUUCAUCAAUCAUGAAUACAUAUCUAUUCAUAUGUGCAGUACAUUUGCCAGUACAGUUAUUAUUCAUGUGUACGGCACUUUUAACCAAUACGGUACUGUUACAUCAUUAAGGAAACUCAGGUCCUUAUUCACAUGUCAGGGAUCAAGGACCCUUAAGUCCGAUCACAUGUUUACAAAUAUAGUACCGGAGAGACUGCCAGCUCUCAUAUCAAUAUCAUCAUCAAGGAUCUUCAAGUCCUGAUGUAAAUGUAUGAUGAGGAUCAAGGAACUUCUGGUCCUGAUCUGUAUACUGUAAAAACUCAUCAUACAGCACAAUUAAUCCAUAAAAUAAAUUUACUGUUAAAUAAAUUACUUGUAUGGACGUUAAUCCCGCACCAUACUUUAAAUGUGCGGUAAAGUAAACGUGCUUGUAUGGGCACUAAUUCUGCUCCAUACAUUUAAAUGACAGUAAAGGCGUGGACGAUAAACCCGCACCACCCUUUAAAGUAAAUUUACGAUAAAGUAAAUGUCAGUAAAUGUCAGUAGUAAAUUUACGAUAAAGUAAAUGUCAAUGUCAGUAGUAAAUUUACGAUAAAGUAAAUGUCAAUGUCAGUAAAUGUCAGUAGUAAAUUUACGAUAAAGUAAAUGUCAGUAAAUGUCAGUAAAGGCGUGGACGAUAAACCUGCACCACCCUUUAAAAGUAAAUUUACGAUAAAGUAAAUGUGUUGUAAUAAGUCAUGAUAAGUGGGGACAAAGAUUAGGUAGGUUUUAGCCCCAUGCAUACCUCACAAAACUUUUCUGGUGCCGACAAUUCUCACCAAUAAUCCUAGUGAGAAAGCUUGGUAGGAUUCACUUUUAAAAAGUGUGAGGCUUUUGUCCCUCUGCAUGUGCUUUUGUCCAAAGCAAUUUUGUUUGGUUCCUCUCCUUUUUGAGACAUGAGAGCCACUUUGGACGUACAAUGCUUAAAACUUGCAACUUUACAGCUUGAUCACACUUCCAAGUUAAGCAAGCAACCAAGCAUUGUGUUGAGAUUGAAAGAAAGCGACGGCCAUCAUCUCUUUCUGAAGAUGUUAUAUCAGUGCUUCCAGCUGCUCAUUUGAUUCGGUGCUCCUGCUGCUGCUUAAGUGAUUUCCACAGCAAGGAGACAACGCCAGGCUGGCUAUGAUGCCUGCCGCCAUAAUUUCUCUUACUUUAAGCUGAUGCUCAAGUCCAAAUCCAACACAGGAAAGGUGAGGGAUCUGAUCAGGGACAGCACUGAAGCACCAAAUUGUGGCCAUGUCACACAGAACGUUGCAUUGAUGUUGUUGAUUUCACACGCAGCCAAGAGAGCCUCGCCCAACAACGACGCUGGCCUACGGAAAGUAUUCCAAGCUCAAAGAUGGGGCUUUUCUUUCCAAGGUCGUUUCUAGCUUGAACGCCACCGCCUCAUCCCUCGAAAGUCUUGGAGAGAGGUUGAUUUCUGAACUUGGAACAGAAUAGCCUCUGUCCCUUAUCAUCUCCUUGAAACUGUAGCUGCUUUUGAAACCGUCGACCUUGAGAUGCAUUGUGGGAGUCAUCCCCGGCUCGGAGUUGUGGAUCAUAUAUGCUUUUCACCCCCUGCUUGGUGCUUCUUUAGACCAAGUGGCUGGGGUUGCAAACUCUUUUGGGGCAGAUGAAGAAGACGAAGAAGUUGGGGCCGAGAGAAAGAUGAAACUGAGUAUGCUGGUCCAGAGGUGGAAGCCUGACCAAUAAGAAAGGUUAUGACUGCAUGGACAUACUUUGUUUACCCUUUGAACUUUCGGAAAACAAAAGGCAUAGACAAAGCUCUGCCAGAGGAACUGGUCUUUCGGUUCAUAUCAACACCGAAAGUUCAAAGGGUGAGAAAGAAGAGUUCUUUGUGAAAGAAACAGAGGAAGAAGCAGGGGAACUGAGGCUGGAGAGAGAUAAGAUAUCUGGGUUUCAGAGAAUUCAGCUUGUAUAUUUGAGAGCGAAUUCGUGCUGAUAACGUGUUAUAAAAUUAGAGAGAAAUUGGAAAGAAUUGAGAUGGAGAGAAGCUGAAUGUUUUUCUCUGUAUUACAAUCAAUGGGAUGUGUUCUAUUUGUAGGCAGAGCCUUCCAACAUGUGGG